rnacentral:tRNA from 6 species
GCCCCCGUAGCUCAGGGGAUAGAGCAUCGGCCUCCGGAGCCGGGUGCGCAGGUUCGAAUCCUGCCGGGGGCACC